rnacentral:ribozyme from 2 species
AGGUCAACUCCGCCGGUAGCUCUUCUAGAGUUACCGCCGGUCCCAAGCCCGGGUAAAGGAGGAGGGUUGU